UACGAAGGGGGCGAGCGUUGUUCGGAUUUACUGGGCGUAAAGGGCGCGUAGGCGGUCGUGACAAGUCACUUGUGAAAUCUCCGGGCUUAACUCGGAACGGUCAAGUGAUACUGUCGGACUAGAGUACAGAAGGGGCAACUGGAAUUCUCGGUGUAGCGGUGAAAUGCGUAGAUAUCGAGAGGAACACCUGCGGCGAAGGCGGCAUCCUGGACCGAGAUUGACGCUGGAUGAGCGAAAGCUAGGGGAGCAAACGGG
rnacentral:rRNA from 1 species